AGCUUGGCGCAGUGGCAGUAUCGUAGCCAAUAAGGUUUAUCCGAGGCAUGAUUACUGCUAAUUAAAAUGUAUUCAUCAGACAA
ensembl:snRNA U4 U4 spliceosomal RNA